GCACAUYGCGCCCUCUGGUAUUCCGGAGGGCAUGCCUGUUUGAGCGUCAUU
rnacentral:rRNA from 1 species